GUCAUAGUUUAAUUUGUAUUGCCAUUUCUACCUCUCUAACGUCAUGGCCUGUGGGUAUGUGUUUAUUUCUGUCCCUACUCUAGGUGUUGACCUAAUUGGACCAUUCAAAGCCUCAAAGAAUGGGAACCACUUCUGUCUGACAGCAACUGACUUCUUCACCAAGUGGGUGGAGGCCAGGCCCAUCAAGGACAAGACUGCAACUGCCACAUCACAGGCUAUGAUGGACAUUUUCUACACCCAUGGGGCUCCUGAGGUCAUCUUGACAGACCAGGGUCGUGAAUUCUGGAACAAGGUAAACAAGUCCCUGUUUGAGGAGUUUGGUGUCAAGCACCGAA
rnacentral:lncRNA from 1 species